AGGCGUAGUUCAGUGGUAGAACUUCAGCCUUCCAAGCUGAUCAUGCGGGUUCGAUUCCCGUCGCCUG
rnacentral:tRNA from 4 species